AUUGAACGCUGGCGGCAGGCUUAACACAUGCAAGUCGAACGAUUGGCGGACGGGUGAUUAAUGCCUGGGAAACUUCCUGAUGGGGGGGGAUAACUACUGGAAACGUUAUCUAAUCCCGCAUACCCUCGUAUUGUCCCAGAUGGGAUUAGCUAGUAGGUGGGGUAAUGGCUCACCAAGGCGACGAUCCCUAGCUGGUCUGAGAGGAUGACCAGCCACACUGGAACGGAGACACGGUCCAGACUCCUACGGGAGGCAGCAGUGGGGAAUAUUGCACAAUGGGCGCAAGCCUGAUGCAGCCAUGCCGCGUGUAUGAAGAAGGCCUUCGGGUUGUAAAGUACUUUCAGCGGGGAGGCGUUACCCGCAGAAGAAGCACCGGCUAACUCCGUGCCAGCAGCCGCGGUAAUAC
rnacentral:rRNA from 1 species